AGCGAACGCUGGCGGCAGGCUUAACACAUGCAAGUCGAGCGGGCGUAGCAAUACGUCAGCGGCAGACGGGUGAGUAACGCGUGGGAACAUACCUUUUGGUUCGGAACAACACAGGGAAACUUGUGCUAAUACCGGAUAAGCCCUUACGGGGAAAGAUUUAUCGCCGAAAGAUUGGCCCGCGUCUGAUUAGCUAGUUGGUGAGGUAACGGCUCACCAAGGCGACGAUCAGUAGCUGGUCUGAGAGGAUGAUCAGCCACAUUGGGACUGAGACACGGCCCAAACUCCUACGGGAGGCAGCAGUGGGGAAUAUUGGACAAUGGGCGCAAGCCUGAUCCAGCCAUGCCGCGUGAGUGAUGAAGGCCCUAGGGUUGUAAAGCUCUUUUGUGCGGGAAGAUAAUGACGGUACCGCAAGAAUAAGCCCCGGCUAACUUCGUG
rnacentral:rRNA from 1 species